rnacentral:rRNA from 1 species
UACGUAGGGUGCAAGCGUUGUCCGGAAUUAUUGGGCGUAAAGAGCUCGUAGGCGGUUUGUCGCGUCUGCUGUGAAAACUCGGGGCUUAACCCCGGGCCUGCAGUGGGUACGGGCAGGCUAGAGUGUGGUAGGGGAGAUCGGAAUUCCUGGUGUAGCGGUGAAAUGCGCAGAUAUCAGGAGGAACACCGGUGGCGAAGGCGGAUCUCUGGGCCAUUACUGACGCUGAGGAGCGAAAGCGUGGGGAGCGAACAGG